UACACAGUAUGCGGCCAAGCGAAAGUAUUAAGUGAGCCACCUGGGGAGUACGUUGGCAACAGUGAAACUCAAAGGAAUUGACGGGGGCCCGCACAAGCGGAGGAACAUGUGGUUUAAUUCGAUGAUACGCGAGGAACCUUACCUGGACUUAAAUGCAGAGUGACAGACCCUGAAAGGGGUUUUUCUUCGGACGUUUUGCAAGGUGCUGCAUGGUUGUCGUCAGCUCGUGCCGUGAGGUGUCGGGUUAAGUCCCAUAACGAGCGCAACCCCUACCGUUAGUUACCAUCAGGUUAUGCUGGGGACUCUAGCGGGACUGCCACCGUAAGGUGCGAGGAAGGUGGGGAUGACGUCAAAUCAGCACGGCCCUUAUGUCCAGGGCUACACACGUGUUACAAUGGCCAGUACAAAGGGCAGCUACCUGGUGACAGGAUGCUAAUCUCGAAAGCUGGUCUCAGUUCGGAUCGAAGUCUGCAACCCGACUUCGUGAAGCUGGAUUCGCUAGUAAUCGCGCAUCAGCCAUGGCGCGGUGAAUACGUUCCCGGGCCUUGUACACACCGCCCGUCAAACCAUGGAAGUUGGGGGUGCCUGAAGUCUGUGACCGCAAGGAGCGGCCUAGGGUAAAACUAAUGACUGGGGUUAAGUCGUAACAAGGUAGCCG
rnacentral:rRNA from 1 species